GAGAGGCUGGAGCAGGCCCAGCGCUGGGCUCAGGGGCAGCGCUCUGGGGGUCUCCACCAUGGCCUGGGCUCUGCUCCUCCUCUCCCUCCUCUCUCAGGGCACAGGGUCCGGGGCCCAGUCUGCCCUCACCCAGCCUCCCUCCGUGUCCGGGACUCUGGGACAGUCGGUCACCAUCUCCUGUGCUGGAACCAGCAGUGACGUUGGGGGUUAUGACUAUGUCUCCUGGUACCAACAGCACCCGGGCACAGCCCCCAAACUCCUGAUUUAUGCUGUGACUACUCGGGCCUCGGGGACCCCUGAUCGCUUCUCUGGCUCCAAGUCUGGCAACACGGCCUCCCUGACCAUCUCAGGGCUCCGCACUGAGGACGAGGCUGACUAUUACUGCAGCUCCUAUAGGAGUGGUGGCACUGCUGUGUUCGGCGGAGGGACCAAGCUGACCGUCCUAGGUGGGCCCAAGGCCGCCCCCUCGGUCAGUCUGUUCCCACCCUCCUCUGAGGAGCUCCAAGCCAACAAGGCCACACUGGUGUGUCUGAUCAGCGACUUCUACCCGGGCGCCGUCACCGUGGCCUGGAAGGCAGACGGCAGCCCCGUCACCCAGGGCGUGGAGACCACCCAGGCCUCGAAACAGAGCAACAACUAGUACGCGGCCAGCAGCUACCUGAGCCUGUCAGCCGCCCAGUGGAAAGCUGGCAGCAAGUACAGCUGCCAGGUCACGCACGAAGGCAGCACCGUGGAGAAGUCAGUGUCCCCUGCAGAGUGUGCCUAGGCCCCGGCCCCCACCCCACCCUCGGGGCUGGAGCUGCAGGAGCCCAGGGAGGGGUGUCCCCUCCCUCCCAGCUCAUCCCAGCCCCUGCCCUGCACCCAAUGAGCCCUCAAUAAAUAUCCUCGUUGUCAAUCAGAAA